UCCGGGUCAGGUAGGAUCAGGCAUUGCCCAUCGAAGAGAGAGAAGGCCUGUUUGCAGCCUUCUGAAUGGCUCUGCGUCAUUCUUACCGUGGGAUGAAUGAGCAAGGGCCACGAUCCGCAAAACUGAAAGGCUCCUCCCUUCACUUCGGUGCCCCUAAAAAGCCCUCAAGCCGCUGCUUCUCCGUUUCUAUUGCCUCUUCGCUGUACCUCCAACCAUUCGCCUGUCCUUGAUCGGUGGUGGAUCACAGAGAAGAAUCAAAGCCUCCGAGAGUUCUCACGCCUUUUUCUUCUCCCUUUUUCUCGGAAAGGAUGCCCAUCUUGUGUGGGUUUUUUUGAUCAGCAAUGCCCUUCUCUUGCUGUGGUAUUUCAAUUGUGCCUUUUGGUCUUUCAGGGAUGGGAUUUCUAGAUGGAAAAGAGAGGGUUAGUGUUUCUGGGUUGCUCUUCUUCAUUGGUGUGGACUGUAAGGUGAUUGCUCGAUCAAAGCGAUUGGAUUUGGUUUCUCUGUGCUCAAGGGGUUCUCUUGUGCAUCAUCAUUGGCAUUAGCAUGGUGGCAGUGUUUAAAUGUGGUGCAUAUGGCAGCAUGACCGCAUAUGUGUAUGCAGUCCUUUGAUUGGACCGCAUUGCGUAUAUGCGGUUACUGUAUAUUAUGCUAUAUAUAUAGCUUGCUUACUAUUGUAUGGCUGCAUAUGCGGGCUCACUUAGCAUUCUAGAGCUACAUAUACCACCCACUUUUAUA